GAAGUACACGUGUAACUCGGUUCGCAAGUUCUUCGGAGGUCGGAGCCCCAGGACUCAGAGCAGCUGCAGGAAGGGGCCUGGGGCAACCAUCCUCGGCUCGCCCAGACUGCAGGUAGAGAUUAAGGGGAAAACACACAAAAAAAUGAAGAACCACCCCAGAGAUGGCAAUGAAAAGGAUCAAUUGGCAGCUGAUAGUUCAACUGAAGGACAUAGAAGAUGAUUUCAGACCCACCUCUAACCCCAGUGAUGACACAAGAGGCAUGACAUCCUUGCAGCAGAUUUUACACAGAUUUGGGGGACUUUUGUCUUCCAUAAAAAGUAUCACUCCAGGGCCAGGUGCAGUGGCUCAUGCCUAUAAUCCCAACACUUUGGAAGGCUGAGGCGGGCAGAUCACGAGGUCAGGAGAUCGAGACCAUCCUGGCUAACACGGUGAAACCCCGUCUCUACUAAAAAUACAAAAACAAAAAUAAGCCGAGCGUGGUGGUGGGCACCUGUAGUCCCAGCUGCUCAGGAGACUGAGGCGGGGAGAAUGGCGUCAACCUGGGAGGCGCAGCUUGCAGUGAGCUGAGAUCGCACCACUGCACUCCAGCCUGGGCGACAGAGCGAGACUCCGUCUCAAAAAAAAAUAUCACUCCAGAAAUGACAGACUAGCAGAUUCUUAUUCUUAUACAAACCAUUUCUUAAGAAGAAAAAUUUCAAAGUCCUUUCUACGUAAGGAUUUAGAUUGGCAUAAAAUCAGCCUCCUAAAAUAUACUUUUUUGAAAGCUUGAUUUAAGACAUCUUCCAGCAGUUUUCUUACUCAAUUCCUUUCGCUUUCAGCUCCUCUUUGACACGUUUCAGAAGGUGCCAUCCCCAGAAGCAGAGUCUGCCAUGUUCCUGGCUGCCUCCCCAGCUCCUAUAACAGUGCCUGGAACACAUUAAGCAGUGGAUAUCUAUUGUUGAAUGAAUCUUGUCAUCAUUCAAGUUGCAGGCCAAACGUCACCUCCUCAGUCAAGUUGUCUCUGAUUUCUGGUUAGAAGUAGCACCAGGCUAGGCGCAGUAAUUCAUGACUGUAAUCCCAGCACUUUGGGAGGCCAAGGCGGGCAGAUCGCUUGAGCCCAGGAGUUUGAG